GAUGAACGCUGGCGGCGUGCCUAAUACAUGCAAGUCGAGCGAACGGACGAGAAGCUUGCUUCUCUGAUGUUAGCGGCGGACGGGUGAGUAACACGUGGAUAACCUACCUAUAAGACUGGGAUAACUUCGGGAAACCGGAGCUAAUACCGGAUAAUAUUUUGAACCGCAUGGUUCAAAAGUGAAAGACGGUCUUGCUGUCACUUAUAGAUGGAUCCGCGCUGCAUUAGCUAGUUGGUAAGGUAACGGCUUACCAAGGCAACGAUGCAUAGCCGACCUGAGAGGCAUGACGGCCAACCGUGCGCGGAGAAGCGGUACCGACUCCGACGGGAGGCAGCAGAAGGGAAACGGGCGCAAUGGGCGGAAGCAUGAAGGAAUAACGAAGCGCGAGUGAUGAAAGUCGACAGAGAGUAAAAUUCAGUUAUUAGGGAAUAACAUAUGUGUAAGUAACUGUGCACACAGGGAAGGUACCUAAUCAGAAAGCCACGGCUAACUACAUG
rnacentral:rRNA from 1 species